rnacentral:rRNA from 1 species
GACAGAGGAUGCAAACGUUCUCGGAUUUACUGGGCGUAAAGCGCGCGCAGGCGGUCCCGUAAGUCGGACGUGAAAGCCCAGGGCUCAACCUUGGAAGUGCGUCCGAUACUGCGAGACUGGAGUACUGGAGAGGAGAGCGGAAUUCCCGGUGUAGAGGUGAAAUUCGUAGAUAUCGGGAGGAACACCAGUGGCGAAGGCGGCUCUCUGGACAGAUACUGACGCUGAGGCGCGAAAGCGUGGGAAGCAAACAGG